rnacentral:tRNA from 1 species
GCCAGAGUGGCGGAAUUGGUAGACGCGAUGGAUUCAAAAUCCAUUUCCCGCACGGGAGUAGGGGUUCGAGUCCCCUCUCUGGUA